AUUUAGCUUAAUUGAUUUAUAGGCUACUUUGCUAUAUUUAUAGAAACACGCCUAAUAGUCCCACACAUAAGAAUUUAAUUUAAGUCUGAAACUGUCCCCAAAUGAAUAGCCUAUGUGGAAAAUCACUUUAGUUUUGAGCCACAUCAAAAUGAAGACAAUUUUGAUUUAGGCUAAAAGUCUUUUAUUUGUGUUUGGUUAUGAUCCUAAGAAAUCAUAGAAUGUAUUUUUGUAUGACAACUAUUUACAGCAGCCAAUCUCUGAUUUCCCCAACAAUGGGUGUUUUGCCCCCUGGGUACUAUGGAGAUAACCUAAAGAUGUUUUAACUCAAUAUUUGAACUUCAACAGACAGGACCUGGAGCUACCAUUGUAUACAAAGUUAAGAUUUGUUGCUCUUUUCAAUACAGGUAAACACAUUCCAUCCGAGGGGAGGCGCUGUGUGAAGAGACCGUGGUCGGAAACUGAAACAAAAGCUGUGAUGAAGCACAUGAAGCCAUACAUUCUGAACGGACUUCUGGUCACGAGCGCUCAAUGUGCAUUCUGCAAAGAACACCCUGCAUUAGAAGGACGCACAAUUCAAAAUAUUCGUGAUUUUGUAAGAAAUAAUGGCCUAAAGAAAAAAUAAGUAGUAUUCACACAUGGAAUAGUUGAUGUUUUGCAGUUGUUUCAAGAAUCAAGCUAAAUUCAGACAAGUUAAGUUACGUUUUUUGGUCGCUGGUGGUUCGCGGUUUUGAGUGACUUACGUUUGAGAUGUGUUCAGUCUGAUUUUAUGAAGCUUUUCUUUGAGAAUUGUCAACACUGCUUUAGUAUCCUCACAAUCCUGUUUGCAGUCUGUGUGUCAACUAGUGUCCUUGAAAUAAAGGCCUAAAGAAUAAAAAAAGAUAUUCACACGUGGAAUAGUUGAUGUUUUGUACAGUUUUUUUCAAGAAUUUCAAUGUCAAUCAAGCUAAAUUCUGACAUCAAGUUAAGUUCUCCUUUUUUUCGGUCGCUGGUGGUUCGCGGUUUUGAGUGGUUUGCGUUUGAGAUAAUGUGUCCGAUUUUAUCAAUCUUACCUUUGAGAGUUGUCAACACUGCUUUAGUGUCCUCACAAUCCUGUCUGCAGUCUGUGUGUCGACUAGUGUCCUUGCAGGCCUGUUCUAAAACUUGGUCUGUGUGUCAACUAGUGUCCUUGCAGGCCUGUUCUAAACUUGGUCUGUGUGUCGACUAGUGUCCUUGCAGGCCUGUUCUAAAACUUGGUCUGUGUGUCGACUAGCGUCCUUGCAGGCCUUUUCUAAAACUUGGUCUGUGUGUCGACUAGUGUCCUUGAAGGCCUGUUCUAAAACCUAUGUCCUCACAAGCCUGUAUGGGGAAUAAGUCCUUGUAUACCACCAAAAUGUCUGUGUAAAUCUGUGUGUCACUAUCUUUUGAAAUAUGAGGAAACGUUCCUUUUUAAAGUCAGAUAUAUUUUUGUAAAACAAAAAGAAAAAUUUUGAUACAUUUUUUAUAGCUCUAGCACCUCUGGAAAGGGGUGUCCCCGUAGGCCUGUACUGAGCAUCAUUUGCAGACAUUUUUCAAAAGUGUCCUUGUAAUCCUCCGUACCUGUGUGUGUGUGUGUGUGUGUGUGCAGGCCCAUCGCGAGAAGGCAAGCAAGCCAAGCAAUUUCUUGGGGCCCCGAGCGCAAAGCUCAAAGCCGGACAAUGAUGUCGUAGUAAAACCCUCAGGUCUACUCCGCAUGUAUUAACUGUGGCUAAACAUCAACUGCACUGAAGUCAUCAUAACUUCAGAAGUUCUCAUUUUCAAAUGAUUAUGAAUACUAUUAUUGUUAUUUGAAGCCGUGUCAGUCUUGACUGUGGGUGGUGUGGUCUGAUAGUGUCUAUAAUACAGUAAUAUUUUUGUCGACAUUAUCAAACGGAAUAACUUUUAUUUUGAAGAGCACAGGGCAACGAAGCACACUAGAAAAUAAGAGGACCCGCCCACCGGAAACCAGAUAUUGAGUGGUAAAUUCCUUUUGUUAGGUAGGAAAGAAAAACGAAUAAACAAACUGAAAUCUUGAUUUUCG
ensembl:lncRNA